UCUUUUGGAUGAGCAAAUAAAGUGGUUUCUUCAGGUGAAAUCUACUCCAAGUGAAGAUGCUGUGAA
rnacentral:pre_miRNA from 3 species